GCGGCAGUUUUUUUUUCCGAAUGACCUUAUUUCGAGAAUCAACUAACCGACAAAUCCGUAGCCCAGGUGAUUCGCUGCCUCCCUCUCGCCAAAAUGGGAUGAAUCUUCUCAUGCAGCUUUUUGAUUAUUCAGGGCGCAGCGAAGCCAAUUUCCAUCAAGGCAAGGGGGUAAAUAAGGGGGAAGAGGAGUUGUAACGAUAGAAAAGAGAAAUGACUAUAAGGAACCAACGAUUCUCUCUUCUUAAACAACCUAUAUACUCCACACUUAACCAGCAUUUGAUAGAUUAUCCAACCCCGAGCAAUCUUAGUUAUUGGUGGGGGUUCGGUUCGUUAGCAGGUAUUUGUUUAGUCAUUCAGAUAGUGACUGGCGUUUUUUUAGCUAUGCAUCACACACCUCAUGUGGAUCUAGCUUUCAACAGCGUAGAACACAUUAUGAGAGAUGUUGAAGGGGGCUGGUUGCUCCGUUAUAUGCAUGCUAAUGGGGCAAGUAUGUUUCUCAUUGUGGUUCACCUUCAUAUUUUUCGUGGUCUAUAUCAUGCGAGUUAUAGCAGUCCUAGGGAAUUUGUUCGGUGUCUCGGAGUUGUCAUAUUCCUAUUAAUGAUUGUGACAGCUUUUAUAGGAUACGUACCACCUUGGGGUCAGAUGAGCUUUUGGGGAGCAACAGUAAUUACAAGCUUAGCUAGCGCCAUACCAGUAGUAGGAGAUACCAUAGUGACUUGGCUUUGGGGUGGUUUCUCCGUGGACAAUGCCACCUUAAAUCGUUUUUUUAGUCUCCAUCAUUUACUCCCCCUUAUUUUAGUAGGCGCCAGUCUUCUUCAUCUGGCCGCAUUGCAUCAAUAUGGAUCAAAUAAUCCAUUGGGUGUACAUUCCGAGAUGGAUAAAAUUGCUUCUUACCCUUAUUUUUAUGUAAAGGAUCUUGUAGGUCGGGUAGCUUCUGCUAUCUUUUUUUCCAUUUGGAUUUUUUUUGCUCCUAAUGUUUUGGGGCAUCCCGACUUGCUUCAUUCAAUAGAGAAGAGACGGACUUCCAUAGAGCAUAGAUACCCGCUUUUGAUUCGGAAUACAUGAGACCCGGGCUUAGAAGUUAUGAGAUGACAGUACCUGAUAGUCAUAUCGACUUAAGGACAUGGUUUGGGUCCCACGAGAGGAAGAAACGAAGAUGUCUGGUCGUGGGACUGGUAACCUUGUCUGCUCUAGUACGAGUGAUCCGGUAUUCAUUACAUCAAUUCUAUCGUGUCAAAUCGGGUCAAAUAGCUCAGUCUUUCACUCGAAAGCCUGGCAUCCGCUACCGGUCAACUACUCUUAACUCCUGGGGUCGGAAUAAGCUUCCGCUUCUCAGCCAUAUCCAUCUUCAGCUUCUCCGCCUUUCGCUGAUCCACUUUCAUCCGAAUCAGUAGACAUAGUAUCCGGGUGGAAUGCGGGUGCUGUUAACCGGGUUCUUCUUUGAAUUUAUUGCUUGAAUAGAGAAGCUGCCUGCAGACGCCGCAACGAACAUGUAUUCACUAUUGUACGACUAUUCUCGUGCCUACUAUCUAGUUCGAGUCAAAGCAUAAAGCUUGUGCCUCAAUUUAGUGCUUGCUUGCAAAAAGACAUAUUGAAGAAAAGAGUAGAUUCUAAUCAAUAUGGCGCCCCUGGACCCUUUUAUUAAAUAAAAGUGCAGUAUCAAGUAGAAGUUGAUUCCGGUUGAGGAAAAGAAAGCGACUUCUCCAGCACUAGCACUUGCUUGAAUAAGUGCUUGCUAAGGAACCGGCAUAAUCAAAUUGCACGUCUGCUUCCCUUGUUGGGUCCAAUUGAACCCUUAGACAACACCCAAGCUUCCAUAAGAGUGCGAAGUGGAAGUACCUAACAGGGCCCUAUCUUAUUCAAGUCUCAUUUGGAGGGGAUUGCAGGAUUUGAUCCAUCGCCCCCGGUCCAAAGGACAAUAAAAAUAAUGGUACUUCACCUUCGAUUGGAUCUAGCUAUAAUCUACGUUUGGAAGAGUCUAAAGAUAUGGAGCUCAAAGGCAACAGCACGAAGGAACCUUUUGAUUGAGCAAGCAUGCGAAGCAAGCGACAGAGACCAAAUAGGCGAGAUUAGUUAAGGAAACGGGGUACUUCUGUGGCUAGAAGGCUUUUUUAUGAUUUUAAGGAAACCUUGAGGAGAUAUGCUUCAGGCUUAUCGAUUGUCACCCAUAGCCAUUGCUAUAUCUAUUAUAGCUUGAUUUUACUGUGGUAGAUGAACACAAUACUGCGGGGAAAGCUAAAAGACAAUACAGCCGUCCCAUGGGGUAUAGGCGAACGAUACAUUCACCUUAUUUAUCUUCAUUUUCUUCCGCAGCGAGCUAGUAUGCCCAAAGCCAGCAGUGCGUAGGAAGUCACUGAUCGAGCACUCUUGCGCCGACGAAUCCGGUCUUAGAUAGAAUGAAUAGGCGAAGAAAGGACAACCUGCUAGUAAGAAGGUUUCUUUCUGACUUAUGGAAAGCCUUACCUCUUUCUUGGACACGUUUUCGCUGCGCGCCUCUAUGAUAAACGAAAUGGCAGACAUGAACAAAGCAUAUAGUUGGUAUGACGAGAUAUUCUUCUUUCCCGACGGAACUACCUUUCGGCUUCGCUAAAAACACCUGGGCUAUGCCUCAAAGUCUCAACACUGGCCCGGAGGAGAACACUAAUCUACGCAUAAAUAAAAUCUCUGUUCAUUUUUGAUUCAACUGACCGAGACUAGCAAAUCAAUCCUUUUGAAGCACUCAGCUUUCAGACAAGUCUUCAGACUGCCAUGUUUUAGCUUACUUACCUUUGCCUGCCAACGCUAGAAAAGCUAGCUUCCUUGUUUGUGGUACCAGGAAUGUGUCAUCUUGAUCAAGGAGUCUGGAACUCCAUGCUGGGGAUGUAGGAAAUGCUAUUCGUGCCGGUGAAUCGACGAAACUAUGUCCUUUUGCAGCUUUUUGUGCAAUGUCAUAUGUCGUAAAAGAAAAUGUUGGUGCAGGCUGUCUUCGUAUGCUUUUGAAAAAGCAAGAAUUACUACUAUUUAUUGACUUUAUGAAAAGAAAGUAAAUUGACACUUUAUGUCUCUCUUUCGAAAUUGAAACUUGAAAAUAGUAGGAAACGGAAAGCAAGAACGAAGUAGGCGAGGAAAGGCAUACAUAGGUCAGAAAAGUAUGCAUGGUCGUCACGGGUAAGGAUUCUCCUUCCAGCAUUCUUGGGUCUAGUUUUGUUUGGACUUGGGCUUAGAUGUAGUGGGUUCUUGGGCCACUGCUUUACCUUUAUCAACCUUAGAAGGAGCAUUAGUCUUUGACACAUCAAUCAACCCGGCGUAGGAGCAUGGGAUUUGGACACAUCAGCACCAAACCUGUUGUUGAAGUCGAGUAUGAGCUUCUAUUCUAUCCAAUCGAAAGAAGAAGCAAAGGCUUUUCUCCUUAUCUUUGCAUUUAAGUUCUCGAAAGGAGAAUCGGAGGCUUUACACCUAUCUUUUCUACUUGCUUUUCGUUUUCUAAAAACAAGAGAUCUAGGAAAUGAAAGGAAUUCAUUAUCGAUAAGCUGUGGGUAGAACAGCACAACGAUAGAAACAUGAGGAAAAUCGUCUUCAUCAAGAAGAUAUUUAGCAAUUUUUUCUAUUUUCUAGGCGGAAGAGAUAAAAUAAAUAUUGUUACUGGGCUAGGAUGUUCAUUUGGGAAGGAUCUCGGAUGAAGCUCCAGAGUUCUUGACCAGUGGAGUCAAGUGGAGAAGGCGUUACUUGAUAGGAAAGCAAAUUUUUUUUGCAGGAAUUGUUGUUGUUUCAGCGCGGUAACGAAGGAUGUCUUUCUACCUGCACUUGACCCCGGAAAGUUGUGGUGUUUUCUAUCUUAGAGGAUUAACCACGCCUUUAUGCAAAGGCGAUGCCGAAGAACAUAAGCGGUUGUUUAAAGCAGUGGCGGCGCAUCCGCCUCUAUCCAUCACCAGAGUCUUUCUAGGUUUGUUCAAUAUCAUUUAUAUGUCAUAUGUCAAGGGCUAAAUAUAUGGUAGCCGAUUAUAUACUCCGCGUAGGGCGAAGUUUGUCCCAGUUGGUAGUUAUAUAUAGGUAUAGCUGGAGCCCUAGACAGUCUAGCCAUAUACCAUAUCAUGGGUUGUGGGCUACUCUGGAAGGAGUGGUGACCCAGCGCGAUAGGUUGCUUUUACUAUUACAAGACUGGCUUCCUGGUCAAGUCAGCCUCCUUGAGUUUGUCUUACGGACGGAGUGGGCUUUUCCCCAGGGGGUCUAGUUUUAAGGCAAGUAGGCCUAUUGAGAUGCAUAUAACUUUUCAUCUUAUCACCCCGCCUAGCGACUUUGCAAGCAUUAAAGGCUAGGCACCUAACAGCGGUUAUUCCUCCAACAGGUUAUUCUGGGUUACGCUAAACCUUCAAGCCUUUUACCAGCAGAUGAAUACUUAAUCUAUCCCCUCUGCGCACGGAAAGGGAAAGCUACUCUUCAAGAGUAUAUGCCGAAAAUCCUAUGUUUGGAGUGACCAUGAACACACUGCUUGAGACCCUUCUUUCGUGAGACAGUUGUGAUUCCGCUUUCAUGUUUUGGAUUGAGCUUUGUCACUCUUUCUAUGCCUCUUUCUUUUUCUUGGAGGACAACACACACGCGGCGCUAAGGUUCCCGUGGCAACUGAACUAGGAUUCGAAGCCAGGAUGAGCGGAUCUACCGCUCCAGGUCCUUUCCUAUUCUUAUACUAAUAUGUGUAAGUUCCUUGCGUUUAGAACUAGAACGUGAGGCAUAGUAAUGGCGCAUGUGUGAUAUUCUAUUGAUCCUGUUUAGGCUGCUUUAGGAAAGCACUCAAGCAGGAAUGGAUAAAAUGUCUUCUGCUGCAAUCCUAACUGCAAUGGCCCUCGCAGCUUUAGUGCAACAAGCCGAUCGAAAGCACUCAUCUUUAUCGACUAAAUGCUUUUUUGUCUCUUCCUCACUAAACGCCCGCUUCCUGGCUCCUCCCUCUUUGCCUAGCGGUUAAGUAGAUAGUAGGUCCCCCCCUGGCCCCGCAACCAAGAGUCACUCGUCGAAAGCUGACCAGGAAGACAAUAACUGCUAUUUCAAGAAAGCAUGGUUGGAGUUCUUCUAUUGACGAAGGGAAGAGGACGGUCUUACUUUUCAGAGAUACCUGACUUAUUAAUGGACUGGUCAUGUCAUAGCGGAAGGUCAGAGGUGGGAAACAAGGAAACAGAGGAAAUGCUUACUGGGACAUAGCCUUUGGUACGAGUUGAAGGGAAGAGGUUUGAUUGCUAAUAAAAUGAGUGGAAGAGCUGCUCGGUCAAAGGCCUUCUCUCAAGUAGCAAAGGCAAGACGGAAAAGCAGGAAUGAAGGUUGCUAGGUACCGCUCCGUGGUAACAUCUAUCGAUUCCGCUAUCGGGAAAGUCUGGCAAGGGGAAUAUCUGGCUGAGGAAUUAGAGGAACUUUGGUAGCACUCGGGGACGGAAUCAAUCAAAGAACUUAAGAAAUUGCCCAUACCGACAGCAGCUCCCGCUUUAGAAAAAACCCUAUCUCAUCAGGCAGGUAUACCUGACCCUUUUUUAGCUAGUUUCGGGAAAGCGGUAAGUUAAGUAAGUCAAGCCCUUCUAAGCGAAGAAUAGCGGAGAGAAAUGGUAACGUAAUAAGGGAAAGGGAGCUAGCUGCUUCCAUAUCGCCCCCAAAAAAGAACCAAAAAGUUCCAGAGGCAUCUUCCAUUCAUUUCGAUUUAGGUCUUUCUGCACCAUAUUUAGAUCUUCCCUUUCUACGAUCCGGAAUUCCCAGCAAAUCCUUGACUCCUCGAAUACGAUGGGAUUUCACACCUGGCGAAUCUUUCACUCUACCUCCUCUGACUAAGACUAUAGAAUGUUCCUGCGAAUUAUGACCUUCGCCUGGAAUGUGAGCAAAUAUAUCAUGUCGAUUGCUCAACCGUACUUUUGCUAUCUUACGUAGAGCUGAAUUAGGUUUUUUCGGUGUUCUCGUCGAAACACGCAGGCAUACUCCUUGCUUCUGGGGACAUUGAUCCGAAGCUCGAGUACGGUCCGUGCGCCGUUUUUCUUCUCUACCAUGACGAAUCAAUUGAUUUUUUGUAGGCAUCCCUCUUUCCUAUGUCCUUCCCCCCUUUGCCCUUUCAAAAGUGGUUACUCCCGAUCCGAAGCACCCCUUUUCCAUUCAUAGAGAGAUCCAAUCGUCAAAAUCAAUAAAAAGGCCAUCAUGGACCAAGAUCCAAACAGAUCAAUCUUGUUAGGAGGUACUGCCCAAGGAAAAGAAAAGGUGACUUCCGGAUCAGGGAUAAUAAAUAAAAUAGGAACCGGAUAAAAUCGUAUAUCGAAACGACUUCUGGCAUCACCGGAGGGAUCGGAACCACAUUCGUAGGCCGACAAUUUUUCUGGAUAGGUCGAACUAUUGGAAGCAAAUGGAAAAGGAACACCGAGUGGAAUCAAAGAAACUAGCGGACUGAUCACUAAAUAGAUACAAAUAGGUGCAAAUUCCGACAUCACCAAAGCCCACUUCGUUCUCUCGCUCUCCUCGCGGCGCUCCUUGCUCGCGGAGCGGCAUACCGAAAAAAAGACGCUCAGAUGUGGAUUCGAACCACUGAAGGAUUUCAAGGGCAAUGCCCCUUGCUCUUCCCACUGAAACAAGAAAAAAAGGAUUUGCAGUCCAGCAAGAAAACGGAUGCGCUAACGCUCAACGGCUUUCGCGCUAGUUGCNNNNNNNNNNUGCUCUAACCAGCUGAGCUACCAGAACCACUUGCCUAAAGUCUCUUUUCUUCAUCUAUGAGCAUCCUACCUGCAGUGGAGGAGCUUGCUCAAGAACCGAGAGCCGGCCAGGGACUGGACGGCCCUCGUUCGGGAAGGUCUUCUUCGCUAUAGACGCCACCAAGAACAAGAAAGGGGAUACGAAAGAAACACAGCUGUUCAAAUCAUACCACCGCCUCCUCCUGCAAACGAGCAAGUUCUAAGCUUUAUCGAUCUUCUCCGGCUCACGAAACUCUGGUCUAAUGCCCGCCUUUAGAAAGGACCUGUUUCUUCCUAUUAUUCAUAUCCGCUAGGGGUACGAAGGAGAAGGAGACCGGAUGCGUUAAGCUAGUUGGUAAGAGUUCUUGUCAUUAUUGAUAGUGGCCCUAGAGAAAGAGCUUACGCUGAUUGUUCUAACUUCAUUCAUAUUUGAUUCCGCAACUGAGACCUUUUCCCACAUCUGUGCCAGGAGGGCAAGCGGUCAAAGCAGAAAGGGUUCUCGCUUCUCCGUCUGGAAGGACACCAAAUGGACCAAAUCCUAUCGAUCUUUCCUUACGACUCGACUUAAAAAAAAGGCCGCAGAGGGCUAAAGGCAGUAUCUUUAGUCUACCCAACUCCCUUGCUGCCUAUUUCCUUUUAUACGGUCAUUCCGUGGGGCCACAAGCACCAUCAAUUGCAUUAUCCCCGGUACCACACAUCACUCCAAUCAGAAUAAGCGGGAAUGCUGGUUGGAAAGACAGAAAUAGAAUAAUGAGAAUCAUAUGGUCUGCUUGGGAAGAUAAGCGAAGAAAGCUCUAAGGUUUCCCUUCCUGCAUUCAGAGCUUAUCAAUUCG
rnacentral:lncRNA from 1 species